rfam:Gossypium hirsutum cultivar TM-1 chromosome 19, whole genome shotgun sequence
UAUUAAAAAUUUCAUCCAUUUGUACUGUUAAAAACUGACGUGGCUGAUGGAAUAACCAAACAGUGACACAUGAUGUGCCACGUGUACCUCAUGUUACAAUGAUCAGUUUUUAACAAUAAAAAUAGAUAAAAUUUUAACA